AUUGAACGCUGGCGGCAGGCCUAACACAUGCAAGUCGAACGAGCGGCGGACGGGUGAGUAAUGUCUGGGAAACUGCCUGAUGGAGGGGGAUAACUACUGGAAACGGUAGCUAAUACCGCAUACUAUCGGAUGUGCCCAUAUGGGAUUAGCUAGUUGGUGGGGUAAAGGCUCACCAAGGCGACGAUCCCUAGCUGGUCUGAGAGGAUGACCAGCCACACUGGAACUGAGACACGGUCCAGACUCCUACGGGAGGAAGCAGUGGGGAAUAUUGCACAAUGGGCGCAAGCCUGAUGCAGCCAUGCCGCGUGUAUGAAGAAGGCCUUAGGGUUGUAAAGUACUUUCAGCGGGGAGGCGUUACCCGCAGAAGAAGCACCGGCUAACUCCGUGCCAGCAGCCGCGGUAAUUC
rnacentral:rRNA from 1 species